CCAAUUUCGUGUCUGGUGACGCUCGUCGAUAGGUUUUGUUUCCAAGAUGGCGUCGCGCUCCAUGGAUGAUGACAUCAGAAAUGAAUGUUGUCUUCGUCUGGCGUCCCUGGGUGGUCGCCAGCACUGCCCUAAAGACCAGUUAUACCUCGGAAAGCUUCUUGUUACCGACCCUGGCAUUGAGGUGGGAGACGGACGCAGAAUAGAGCUAACUUCCUUGCUCACAUUGGCUAGGGUUGAUGGGGUGACUGCCCGUUCCUGGCUAGUUUUGGGAGAG